CGGUUAAAGCGGUACGCGAGCUGGGUUCAGAACGUCGUGAGACAGUUCGGUCCUUAUCCGCUGUGGGCGCAGGAGAUUUGAGGGGUUCAUUCCUUAGUACGAGAGGACCGGGAAUGACGAACCUCUGGUGUUCCGGUUGUCGUGUCAACGGCAGCGCCGGGUAGCUAUGUUCGGAAAGGAUAAGCGCUGAAAGCAUCUAAGCGCCAAGCCUAUCCCAAGAUGAGAUCUCCCCAUUAAGGUCCAGGUAGACCACCUGGUUGAUAGGACGCAAGUGUAUAGGUAGUAAUACCAAAGCUAAGCGUUACUAAUUACCUGAUUGGCUUGAUCUU
rnacentral:rRNA from 1 species